rnacentral:rRNA from 1 species
CCUACGGGAGGCAGCAGUGGGGAAUUUUGGACAAUGGGCGCAAGCCUGAUCCAGCAAUGCCGCGUGCGGGAAGAAGGCCUUCGGGUUGUAAACCGCUUUUGGCAGGAACGAAACGGUGUCCGCUAAUACCGGGCGCUAAUGACGGUACCUGCAGAAUAAGCACCGGCUAACUACGUGCCAGCAGCCGCGGUAAU